rnacentral:snRNA from 1 species
NACUAAAAAUUGGAACAAUACAGAGAAGAUUAGCAUGGCUCCUGCGCAAGGAUAACACGCAAAUUCAUGAAGCAUUCCAUAUUUUU